AACGAACGCUGGCGGCGCGUCUUAAGCAUGCAAGUCGAACGGUAAGGGAGAGCUUGCUCUCCCCUAGAGUGGCGGACUGGUGAGUAACGCGUGGGUGACCUGCCCUGAAGAUGGGGAUAGCUAGUAGAAAUAUUAGAUAAUACCGAAUGUGCUCAUUUACAUAAAGGUAAAUGAGGAAAGGAGCUACGGCUCCGCUUCAGGAUGGGCCCGCGUCCCAUUAGCUGGUUGGUGAGGUAAAGGCCCACCAAGGCAACGAUGGGUAUCCGGCCUGAGAGGGUGAACGGACACAUUGGGACUGAGAUACGGCCCAAACUCCUACGGGAGGCAGCAGCUAAGAAUCUUCCGCAAUGGACGAAAGUCUGACGGAGCGACGCCGUGUGAAUGAAGAAGGCCGAAAGGUUGUAAAAUUCUUUUGCAGAUGAAGAAUAAGAAGAAGAGGGAAUGCUUCUUUGAUGACGGUAGUCAUGCGAAUAAGCCCCGGCUAAUUAC
rnacentral:rRNA from 1 species